AACGAACGCUGGCGGCAGGCUUAACACAUGCAAGUCGAACGCGUGUAGCAAUACACGAGUGGCGCACGGGUGAGUAACGCGUGGAUAUCUGCCUUCUGGUUCGGAAUAACCCCGGGAAACUGGGGCUAAUACCGAAUGGUUCCUACGGGAUAAAGAUUUAUCGCCAGAAGAUGAGUCCGCGUCCGAUUAGCUAGUUGGUGAGGUAACGGCUCACCAAGGCGACGAUCGGUAGCUGGUCUGAGAGGACGAUCAGCCACACUGGGACUGAGACACGGCCCAGACUCCUACGGGAGGCAGCAGUGGGGAAUAUUGGACAAUGGGGGCAACCCUGAUCCAGCCAUGCCGCGUGAGUGAUGAAGGCCUUCGGGUUGUAAAGCUCUUUUGGCGGGGACGAUGAUGACGGUACCCGCAGAAUAAGCCCCGGCUAACUUCGUGCCAGCCGCCGCCGUAA
rnacentral:rRNA from 1 species